GACGAACGCAGGCGGCGUGCUUAACACAUGCAAGUCGAACGGUAAGGCCCUUCGGGGUACACGAGUGGCGAACGGGUGAGUAACACGUGGAUGAUCUGCCCUGCACUUCGGGAUAAGCCUGGGAAACUGGGUCUAAUACCGGAUAGGACUCCGGACUGCAUGGUCUGGGGUGGAAAGCUUUUGCGGUGUGGGAUGGGCCCGCGGCCUAUCAGCUUGUUGGUGGGGUGAUGGCCUACCAAGGCGACGACGGGUAGCCGGCCUGAGAGGGUGACCGGCCACACUGGGACUGAGAUACGGCCCAGACUCCUACGGGAGGCAGCAGUGGGGAAUAUUGCACAAUGGGCGCAAGCCUGAUGCAGCGACGCCGCGUGAGGGAUGACGGCCUUCGGGUUGUAAACCUCUUUCAGCAUCGACGAAGCGAAAGUGACGGUAGGUGCAGAAGAAGGACCGGCCAACUACGUGCCAGCCGCCGCAGUAA
rnacentral:rRNA from 1 species